rnacentral:lncRNA from 1 species
GUGUGGGUGGUGAUAUGAAAGUAGAGCGAGAGGAGGGUGCGGACUAGUCAUUGCCUCAUCCUGCGGCCUGUGAAGGACUGGCUGUAUGCAGGCAGGAGGGAAUGAUCAUUAACUGAACCCCAGAGCACUUUGAUUCCAGAAACAAUUUGUACCAGGAAAUAAUCCGUGCUUCCUUUUCCUUGAUGAGACCAGCAGGCAGCUGCCGGAGCUUUAAUCAGCACAGUCUCAGCUGCUGACACACCCUGAGGGCUGCCCCUGGCAGACUGGGAGCUGGCUCCUUCCUCGUGCAGUCCCACAACAGGGAGGACCUGAGCACAAACUCAGGUUCCCCUCGGCCCUCUUCUCCCUCCCAUUUGUGGUCCAAACGCGGUGCAGAAGCCCUGGGAAGCAGUCCAAGUCCAAGCGCUGACAUCCAGGUGCCAUCUGCUGAGCUAAUAGAAACCAGCUGGUUGCUGAGUUCUAUAAAGGGAAGCUUACAUCAAGCUGAAAGCAUACUUAUUCUGGCUGUGCCCAAAGCGUGGGCUCCAUCACCACUGCAAACAACAAGGCCUGAGGAUGUUAUAGCCAAUAUACUGAGUGCACUUCUCAUUGGAUCAGAUCAAGGGAGGUGAUCCUGCCCCUCUGCUCUGCGCUGGUGAGACCUCACCUGGAGAACUGUGUCCAGAUAUGGAGUCCUCAGUACAGGACAGACACGGAGCUGUUGGAGUGCAUCCAGAGGAGGGCCUCAAAAAUGAUACAAGUGAGCAGCCCUCUCCUACAAGGGCAGGCUGAAAGAGCUGUGGCUGCUCCAGGUAGAUUUGAAAGGUUGCUACCUUUUGAUAUCUAAAGGGGGGCUGUAAGAAGGAAGGGGACCGACUCUUUAGCAGGGUUUUUAGCUUUUGAAAUAGGAUAGGCAGAAAUUAUUUCAGACUAAGUGAUUUAGAUUGGAUAUAAGAAAGAAACAUUUCUUAUGAUAGGGUCAGUGAAGCACUGGAACAGGUUGCCCCAAGGUGUGGAGGAGUGGUCUGUAGAGAUAUUCAAGGUCAGACUGGAUGGUGCUCUGAGCAAUCUGAUAUAGCUGUAGAUGUCCCUGUCUGUUGCAAGGGAGUUAGACUAGAUGACCUUUAAAGGUCCCUUCCAACUUAACUCCUAGACUUCCACAUUCAAUUUCCUUCUGCUUAGAAAAUUAUGUUGUUGUAUCAGGUGUCUUUGAGUACUCCAAGUCUCA